GGCUAGAGGAAAUUCAUAGGGUGACAGUUCCUCCACGUAUCCAACUCUCGGAACGACACAACGUGCACAAAUGUCGAUUAAAUCUUUCUGAUCAUUGCCUCCCUUCUAACACUUACCUUUUCCAAUUCUGAUCACCCAUCGGUUCUACAUCUCUCCAAAUGCACGAACGGUUCCUCAUCAAGAAAAAUCUGACAUAUCAUCCAGAAAAUGGAAAUCAAUUAUUAUGCGACGAAUAUAAAAUUCGCCCAAUUCUUGACAACAAAUAUUCUGAAUGUUGGAUUAAAUAAGAAUGAUAACAUUGAUCUUUCUGCCGUCAGCAUCUUCCCACCGGGAAAAUAGAUUGAUGAGAGUUUUUCAUUAGUUACUUUUACUUUGUAUACCUUUGAGAUUCAAUUAUAUAAAAGUGACAGAUCAAGACAACAUUUUUCUUGAGAUGUUGUAUCGUGGUUGGCUCCCUGUAUCUAAUUGAAUUCAUGAGGAAAUGGUAAGUAACAAUCAAUUUUUUUAUUGGUUCAUCUCAAGUAUGUGGGUUGAUCUUUUCAUAUUAAUGUCAUAAUUUUCCCAAGAAACCCUAGAAAUGGAGCGCAUAUGUAGUUACUUGGUGGAUUUUCCAAUUGUUGGCAAGUUGGUUGAUGAUAUGCCUAAAUGAGAAGAUGUCAUUGUUUCUGGUUGUUUGCUUCAAUAAAACUUUUUAUACAUAUGAUUAUAAAGCCAAGUCCACUUCCUCAUAUUUUCUUUGCAUAUUGUUUGUGUUUGUUAUGUCAAGAAAAUAUAUAUGUUACCGGUUCAUGUUUUAGGGAAAGAAAUAUUGUUUCUGCUGCUGCUUGUGACGGUUUCAAUGACUAGCUUAUUCAGGUGAUGAUCAAGAAUUUGGAACAAAUGAUGGAAAUGGUUUUAAAUUGAUUUAAAGAUUACGAGAGACUAUGUAUGAUGAAACAAGGAAACUCUUAGCUAUCAGAUUACUUGAAAUGAUGAAAUUAUUACAGCUGGAACGUGAAUGAAAUUUGAUGGUCA